UACGAAGGGGGCUAGCGUUGUUCGGAAUUACUGGGCGUAAAGGGCGCGUAGGCGGUGUGUCAAGUCAGGCGUGAAAGCCCCGGGCUCAACCUGGGAACCGCGCUUGAGACUGGCACGCUCGAGUUCGGGAGAGGAUGGUGGAAUUCCCAGUGUAGAGGUGAAAUUCGUAGAUAUUCGGAAGAACACCGGUGGCGAAGGCGGUUCUCUGGGCAUUACCUGACGCUGAGGAGCGAAAGUGUGGGGAGCGAACAGG
rnacentral:rRNA from 1 species